rnacentral:rRNA from 1 species
GACGAACGCUGGCGGCGUGCUUAACACAUGCAAGUCGAACGGUGAACCUCUUCGGAGGGGUUCAGUGGCGAACGGGCGAGUAACACGUGGGCAACAUGCUCCCGGCUCUGGGAUAACUACAAGAAAUAGGGGCUAAUACCGGAUGUUCACCGCUUCCCGCAUGGGUGGUGGUGAAAAGGGUUUCCGGCUGGGGAUGGGCCCGCGGCCUAUCAGCUUGGUGGUGGGGUAGUGGCCUACCAAGGCGACGACGGAUAGCCGGCCUGAGAGGGUGGACGGCCACACGAGUACUGAGAGAGGGCCCAGACGCCAACGGGAGGCAGUAGGGGGGAGUAUGGCGCAGUGGGCGGGAGCCUGACACGGCGACGCCGGGAGGGUGAUGACGGCCUUCGGGUUGUAAACCUCUGUCAGCAGAGACGAAGCGGAAGUGACGGUACCUGCAGAAGAAGCACCGGCCAACUACGUG